UGUCUUCACUUGCUUUAUCUGACCGUAUCUUGAUUCUGGGCACAGGUUACUCAGAGAAGCUGUGGCUGCCCCAUCCCUGGCAGUGUUCAAGGCCAGGUUGGAUGGGGCUUGGAGCAAACUGCUUUGCUGGAAGGUGUCCCGGGCCAUGGCAGGGGUUGGAACUGGAUGAGCUUUAAGGUACCGUCACCCCAAACCAUUCUAGGAUUGAUUCUGGCUUCUCAAAUGAUUAUUUAUCCCUUGCGUGUUUCCACAGGGAUCUGACCCCGUUCAGCCUAACUCUUCUCCUGAGCCAUUUCCUGCCUGGCUGUGGUAGCUGGUUCUGGUGCUUCCCAGGGAGCCAGGAGGAGCUGCCUGUUGUGUUUGCUCCAUAAACCCUGGGAAACUGCUUACAGCCAGGAUUGUCCUUCCUGACCUUUCUGUCUGUCUCCUCUGAAACAGGAGUCUUGCCCAUCCUUCUCCCAGCAUGAGUGACCCAUGUGCAUUAGACUCCUUUUGAUGUAGAUGAAGUCAGAUAACUUCUUCAUGACCUUCUUGAGGAUGUUCCCAGAUCUCCAGAGCAGCAAGUAUGGUUCAUGCAUGCUGGCGGUCUCCUGCAUCAGAGGGGGCUCAGGGACCUCUGGAUCUCUUCCAUCAGCCAGAAGGUCUUUGUGUGAGCCACAGAGUUGCACAAAACACAAGCAAUUGCUGAUAAGGUGAGCUGUAGCUUGUAGUGGUAUCUUGGGAUGGAGGUGACUGCAUGCGAGCAUCUCACCUGAGUUACAAGCUGUCCAGGGUUCCAAGUGAUGCUUGUAAACUCUGUGAGCCCUGAAAUGAGAGGCUCUGGUGAGUAUUAAACUCUGCAGCUUUUGCAUACUCGAGUCUUGCAAGGAAAGGUUCCAGGUUUUCCAUGUUUCUCCCACUAACCAUGGGACGAAUGGAGAGGAUGGAUAGCGCAGGGUCCAGAUGCUGCUGUCAUCAUCCAGAUUCUGAUGCUAAGAGAAACCUUCAAGUCUUGUGUCCUGGAUUCCAGAGAAGUCCUGGCCAUGCAGGAGCCCUGAGGUUGUGUUCCAGAGCUUUAUAACUCAUCACUGGGUGAGUGGUUCAGCUCCUGGAAGAGCGCAGCGUGGAGUUUACAAGCUCCACAGCCCACAGAGCUGUGCAGGUUCCUCCUCCAUGGAUCUUGUCACCCUAAUGUGGACCAUGCAUCUCAACACAGCAGAUCAUGGCUCAGAUGGGGCGUGCUGGGGGAAGCGGAGUGGUUGUGGUUGGGACAAGACUGUGGCUGAAUUUAGAAGUUGGGGAUUUGGGGGGGACUCUUCAGAUUCUUUUUUAGGCUCUGAACAGAAGGGUUUGAAACGUAGUCAGAUAGAAGGGCAAACUUUAUGCCACAAAAAUGCAUCUUCAGUUGCAUGUGGUUGCUUUAAUGCUCACACGGUUCUAGUUUUACAUGUCAACCCCUUUGAUAAUGAGCGUUUUAAUAGACAGAGAACAUAUGGGAAAAAUCAUACCAAAUCAGAUGAUAGGUAUUAUUUAAUGUGGGCAAAGCCUGUUCGAAAGGGACAAGGAAAUUUUCAUUCCAGAGGGGUUAUAGGGCAGUCCUUGAGGUUGGGGAGAAGGCGCUUCUGUGUCUGGUGCAGAGACCUGACAUCUCCUGAGGUAUCCCAGGUCUGCUUGGAUAAGUCAACUGCUCUCUGUGCUCUGCAUCCCCAUCUAGAAAAUGGGAAUUCUGCCUGAUGGGGUUUGCAGAUAGCUCCUUUUGCAUGGGGCACUCCGUUAUCCCCACAUCAUGGGUAUACAUGGAGAUGGGUCCAGCUUGGUAGGUGCUCUGCAGUUGCUUAGUGAAGAAAAACCCCAAAAUCCCCAGUGUGGGAGGCAGAGGGAGGCGUCGAGCAGGAGAGGAACUGACAUAAAAUCGGCCCCUGAAGCUUUCUGGGGAGGUGGAUGUGGUAUUUUGAAUUCAAGAAAGCAAGGAAGCAGCUUGGAAAUCUCCAGCCAUCCCAGGCAGGAGCCUGGAGGCAACCCAGGCCCACGGGAAUGUUGCUGCUCUGUAAUGUCUAAUUAUUAACAGGAAAUUUUGUGCUCCUGUGAAGUAAACACUGUGGGAGCAACACUUCAGCCCCCGUUUGACUUUGAGCAGCCUCAGCAAGGAGGAGGGAGAGAAGGUGCAGAAGCAGCCCCGGCUGUAAUGAAGCCAGCAGCUGCAGGGCAGCAUUUAUGGUGAUGAGAUGCAGGUUUGUGCACCCUGAGCCCCAGCCAGGGCUAAGGCAUCACCUCUGCCUUUUCCCAUUGACCUUCCUGUAUCUGGGGGCUGGUAUCCUGCCUCCCUGCAGCUCCUAUCAGCAGGCAGGAAGGGGGAAUGCUGGGGUGGCCCAGGAGGCUCUGCUGUGGAGCGGUAUGGAACUGGGGGACAUCUCCAUCCCCACUCUUCCCUCAGCACUCAGCCGUAACCCAUUGUUUAAAUUAGAGCCAUCCCUGUGCAGCUCCAGAUGCUUUAAUCUGGCCUUCCUUGGAUCCACCCCUUUAUCCUCAGCAGAGGGGGAAGCACGGGGAUAUUUUUUCUGCUUUCAUUCCAGCCAGGAGACAAUCAGAAAACAGAUUUACUGUGGGUUGCUGAAAGGCAGCAGCAAGUGAUGGGCGUGAGGAACAGCUCCGUGUUCAUGUGCUGUGUUAGGAGAAUCGCUCCUGUAUGGCCCAUCUGGGUACCCAGCAAGAUCUAAAUUGAGAUGUCGAGAUGUGAUGAUGACAGCAGACCUUUUAAUCUGUUGUCUCCAAUCUCCCAUUGGAGUGGCAGCGUUCCGAAGGUGAGCACUAAUGGCAAAUAUACAGGAGUCAUCCCUAAUUAUUUUAGCAGUAGGAAGGAACUUUAUGGCUGCCCGAGGUGCAGCGAGCAGCUGCGGGAGCGCCGUGCCCUGCUCAGUAGCAGGGUUUGUAUUUUAGUAGUGAAGCAAAGCAGGUUUAAAUGAGCAUUGACAUGACUUUGACAUUUUUAUUUUGUGGCUUAUUUUAUGAACUUAGCCAGCAAAGGCAGCGAUGCACUCUGCAAACAGGGACCACAUCGCUGGAGCACCGGGGUGUUACUCCUUCUCUUGUCAGCAUGCCCUACAUCAAGCGGGACCGAACCGAGCGGCACGGGAUGGCAGCAUUGCUGCUUCUGAAUGUGAGCAUCCCAAGGAUGGACGAAUGGAGCACCAGGAUGCAGGAGCCAGCCAGGCUGAGCACCAGCAGGCUCAUUUCUCCAUCCAGCUCUGGAAAGACUCAAAACCUCCACUGCCAGGGCCUGUAAAUAUGGACCAAUGCCUUUCCACCUUCACUCAGCAGCAUUGCCAUUCCCUCCUGAUGAGGCUGUGCUUUGUCUC